AACGGAGCACCCUCGGAGACCGAAUGGCGCGCACACGGCGUCCCGGUGCAGGGCAGCGUCGAGAACUUCCGCUGGAAUCCGGCGCAGGGCAUGGUCGAUGCGUUUGUGCCAAACGCGAACUAUCGCAUCUAUGUCCGGUUCCUUGAUGGCGCCCCGAACGCGUCGGAGC
rnacentral:misc_RNA from 1 species